rnacentral:tRNA from 1 species
AUCAAGUUAGUUUAGUUGAAAAUACUAAGGUGUGGGCUUAGAGAAGAAAUAUGAUUUUGCUUGAUA